GAGAGAGAGAGAGUACACAGUAGGUUAUGCAGCUUCAGCAUCAGCAACCAGAGUCUGAGAGAGAGAGAGAGUACAAAAGGUCAUGCUGCUUCAGCAUCAGCAGCCGGAGUCUGAGAGAGAGAGAGAGAGAGAGAGAGAGAGAGUACAAAAGGUCAUGCUGCUUCAGCAUCAGCAGCCGGAGUCUGAGAGAGAGAGAGAGAGAGAGAGAGAGAGAGAGAGA